rnacentral:rRNA from 1 species
GAAUUCGAUUCUCCUGGAAACGGGUGGUAAUGCCGGAUGCUCCGGUUGGAUGCAUGUCCUUCCGGGAAAGAUUUCAUCGGUAUGGGAUGGGGUCGCGUCCUAUCAGGUAGUCGGCGGGGUAACGGCCCACCGAGCCUACGACGGGUAGCCGGCCUGAGAGGGCGACCGGCCACAUUGGGUCUGAGAUACGGCCCAGACUCCUACGGGAGGCAGCAGUGGGGAAUAUUGCACAAUGGGCGCAAGCCUGAUGCAGCGACGCCGCGUGCGGGAUGACGGCCUUCGGGUUGUAAACCGCUUUUGAUCGGGAGCAAGCCUUCGGGUGAGUGUACCUUUCGAAUAAGCACCGGCUAACUACGUGCCAGCAGCCGCGGUAAUACGUAGGUGCAAGCGUUAUCCGGAAUUAUUGGGCGUAAAGGGCUCGUAGGCGGUUCGUCGCGUCCGGUGUGAAAGUCCAUCGCUUAACGGUGGAUCCGCGCCGGGUACGGGCGGGCUUGAGUGCGGUAGGGGAGACUGGAAUUCCCGGUGUAACGGUGGAAUGUGUAGAUAUCGGGAAGAACACCAAUCACUAGUG